rnacentral:lncRNA from 1 species
UAUUUUUUCUCAGCCUCCAAAAAAGACCUAUGGGCUGCUGUUGACCAGCUGAGACCUCAGCUCCUCCAAAGUCAGAAGCUGGUACUGUCUUAAAGGGACACUGGCACUCCUAAAAUCCUUCCACCUUGCUUACUGCGUCAGAUAGGUUUAAGGGCAAUCUGUAUGUAACACUCAUCACAAGGCUUUGCCUGUAAAUCUGAGAUUCGGAAAAACUCAAAACAUCGUGCUCACCCCUUCUCCUUUAUUUUUACUUACAGCUUUUAAAGCAGAAGGAUACAUUUUUAGUAUUUUAUUGCCUGUCAAUGCUCUGCGCCUUGCCAGAAACGGAUAACGAUAAUUUUAAAUUAUUUAUGUGUUUAUUUUUAUGAGACAGUUUCACUCUGUCACCCAGGCUAGAGUGCAAUGGUAUGAUCACAGCUUACUGCAGCCUCCAACUUCUAGGCUCAAGGGGCCUACCUCAGCCUCCCAAGUAGCUGGGACUACAGACCACCACACCCGACUAAUUAUUUUUUGUAGAGACAGGUUCUCACUUUGUUGUCCAGGCUGGUCUUGAGCUCCUGGCCUCAAGUGAGCCUACCACCUCGGUCUCAAAAAGUGCUAUGACUACAGAGGAGAGUCACUGUGCCUGGCCUAAGGAUGCUUGAAUGUAAAUUCUGUUUCUCCAGUGAAGUUCAAGUUGGCAGUCUCAAUUCAUUCCUCCAUGUAAAGAUCUUCUGCUCACAACCCGGCAGCAGACAGCAGUUUUCUUUCCCUCGGAACACUGGAUUAGCAAGCUUGGACCUGCCCCUUCCAGCAGCCACACUCCUGGCUAGCUUGCUCUGUCUACAGGUAGCAUCACAUGUCAUGGCCUGUAGACCCGGCCUUUACCUCAGUGCAAAAUGCCAGGGCAUGUCCUCUGGUUGAGUUUAUCAUCGAGCAGUAAGGGCUCAGAGGGUGCUGAGAAAUGGUCCAUGCAGCCUUUGUCAGACCAUAACACGUGGGCUCCCAGUGCAAAUAAUAUCAUAAGUUUUCUUUAAACUCCUGUGUCAGCUGCUACAGAAAAGAAAGGCCUGCUCACGAUAGGAUUCAGGGAAAGGCAGCAACUGCUGAGUCAGAAUGACAGAAUUAAAGGGCUUAGCAGAUGAGGCACUGUAGCUGAGGUCCCUCAUUUACUUUGUUUAUUUAGAAACAGGGUCUUGCUCUGUCGCCAGACUGGAAUGUAGUGGUGAGAUCACUGCUCACUGCAGCCUUACCUGCUAGGCUCAAACAAUCCUCUUUCCUCAGCCUCCCAAGUAGCUGUGACCACAGGCACAUGCCACCAUGCCCUGCUAAUUUUUAAAUUUUUUGUAGGGAUCGGAGGGCGUCUCACUAUGUUACCCAGGCUGGUCUCAAACUCCUGGGCUCAAGCGAUCCGCCCACCUCAGUCUCCCAAAGUGCUGGGAUUACAGGCAUGAGCCAAUGCACCUGGCCCUCAUUUGCUUUAGUUAUUAGCUUUCUCCUGGUUGUGGAAAGGUUAUGCCAGGCCCAAAGAGGAGAAGAGGAGAAAAUAAAAACAAAGGAAGGUGCUGGGUGUGUGGCAAGCAAUUGUGUAUUUGUGAUUGUUUCC